UACGGAGGGUGCAAGCGUUAUUCGGAAUCACUGGGCAUAAAGGGCGCGUAGGCGGCUCCAAAAGUCAGGGGUGAAAUCCGGCAGCUUAACUGUCGCAGUGCCUUUGAUACUGUGGAGCUAGAGGGAGGUAGGGGUCUGUGGAACUUCCGGUGGAGCGGUGAAAUGCGUUGAUAUCGGAAGGAACGCCGGUGGCGAAAGCGACGGACUGGAUCUCUUCUGACGCUGAGGCGCGAAAGCCAGGGGAGCAAACGGG
rnacentral:rRNA from 1 species